rnacentral:rRNA from 1 species
UACAGAGGUCCCAAGCGUUGUUCGGAUUCACUGGGCGUAAAGGGUGCGUAGGCGGUCGGGUAAGUCUGGCGUGAAAUCUCCAAGCCUAACUUGGAAACUGCGUUGGAUACUAUCCGGCUCGAGGAAUGGAGGGGAGACUGGAAUACUUGGUGUAGCAGUGAAAUGCGUAGAUAUCAAGUGGAACACCAGCGGCGAAGGCGAGUCUCUGGACAUUUCCUGACGCUGAGGCACGAAAGCCAGGGGAGCAAACGGG